rnacentral:rRNA from 1 species
UACGAAGGGUGCAAGCGUUACUCGGAAUUACUGGGCGUAAAGCGUGCGUAGGUGGUUCGUUAAGUCUGAUGUGAAAGCCCCGGGCUUAACCUGGGAACUGCGUUUGAUACGGAUGGGCUAGGAGUUCGGGAGAGGAGAGUGGAAUUCCCAGGUGUAGAGGUGAAAUCGUAGAUAUUGGGAAGAACACCGGUGGCGAAGGCGGCUCUCUGGACCGAGACUGACGCUGAGGCGCGAAAGCC